UCAGCAUGGAAUUAGGUCACAGAAUUCUUGAAACAGAGAAGCCCCAGAAGCCAAAAAAAACCGCAAUGUAUGAAGGCACAGCUCUCCCCCCAACUUCCUGGGCCAAGAGUGGUGUGGGCUGACCAAGAAAGGAUGGGUUCCUGCUCGGACAGCAGGCUGGGGGGCCGGCACUCGCCCAUUGGCCUUCCCCUGGUUGUCUUGCAGCAUCCCGGGAGGGGAGCCCUCCGGCUCCACAACGAUCUCCAAAGCCCCCCAUUUCCUGGGAUUCCGUUUCCCCACCUCCACGAGGCUCAAGUGUCUGGAAGGUCCAGCUGCUCCUAGACACCCGUCCCCCACCUGACCACCUCUACUGACCCCUCCCAGGACCGCAGCCCAGCUGCUGAGAUCCCUUGGGGUAAAUCCCAGGGGACCAUCCUGGCUGCCCUCAGCCUCCAAGGUCCCUACAGAGUGGGCUCUGGACACAUUGGUGACCUCAGGCCCCAGCCCCUCUGGGCCUCCCUUUCCUAGCGGAGUUGGCACCAUUGGAAGAAGAUGAGGAAACUGAGGCACAAGCACGGAGGGCUGACCAGUUCGUCUCUCGCUGCCUCUGCGGGGCCUGUGUGUGUGAGGGAUGGCCGUGUUGUUCCCUCUCUACCACAUGACUCUGGACCUGCCCUUGAGGUAUGAAGCCAUGCUGGUCCCCCUCCAUGAUGCAAGUCCGGGAUCCGGGCCAGCCUUCACCCCAGAUCUGCUCCAGAAGCACCAUCCUUGGGGAGCAGUGGGUGAGAAAAGGUGAGGACGCUGAGCCACAGGACAGUUGAGUAUUGGCUCACAGUCAACCAGCUGCUGAGAGUCAAGGCAGGGUCUGGGGCAUGUUCUCCAGCCUUUACCAGUGGAUGGACCGUCCGUGCCAGAGAAUAUGACGACCAACUAAUGAAGGAGGGGCACAGACACAGAAAGACAGACUGACCAGUGUCGUACUGGGGGGUGAGGCAGGCCCCCCACCCUCUGCCGCCUGCCGUGGAUGCCAGAGCACACUCCACUAGAGGGUCACGCCUCAGGUGAUGCAUUGCCUUCCUCUUCCUGUCAUCAGUGUGAGUCUCAGGCAGAGUCCAAGCCCAGAAGAACUUCCAGGAGUGGCUUUGGUGGAGGAGAAGAAGCUGGGUGACCCCGGGCAAGUCACUCCACCUUUCUGAGCCUCAGUGUCCCCAUCUGCAACACGGGAUUAACAAGAGAAGCCAAUCUGAGGGUGUGAUGCAGAUCAGCGAUAACUAACGCAGAGCUCCAGGCUCCAGGCUCCAGGCCCUAGCAGGAUGGGCCUGUCUGCUCGGGACCCCUGACUUAGGGCUGUGUGCUGGGAAGGACACCACUGUGGGCCAGGCCUCUGGGGCUUUGGGGGUGCAGUGACAGCUCAGGGAGGCCCUAAUCAGCUGCGGUCCAGUGCCAGAGAGCCACGGGGAAAAAAUACCAGCCCACUGUAUGCUCCCCAUCACCUCCCCACCUCUCUCUGAUCUUACAUAGCCUGAUGCAUGCCUCCUCUUCCAGGAAGGCCUCCAGGUCCCUCUUCCCCUCCCCAGAGGUUCCUGGCCUGGAUGGACCGCUCUCUGUUCUGCAUCUUGGGGUGUUGUGCUCACAGCUUCCUCCCUUCCCAGCCCUCUAUGCUCUGUACACAGUGGACACGCCAGGUGAUCGUGGCAGUAGCCCUGACCCAGCAGACAUAAGGGGUUUUGAGCUCGGGACCUAAUAGGGCGCGUCCACGCAUCUCCCAGGUGGGGCCAACUCGGAAAGGGCAGCGCUUGGGCCAAGCACUGCUUAUGACCACAAGCCCUUCUUGCUCAGGGGCACUUGUUGGGACCUCAGGAGUCCCCAGCCCUCCUGACUGUGCCCCUUCUCAGGUCCCCAGCUCUUCCCUGCUCUUUGUGGUCUCCUUUGUGCCUCCCGAAACAGGGCUGGACAUCCUCCUCUCUCACUCGGUCCACUGGGAACUGGGAGUGGGGUUUACUGAAGCGCUAAAUGGGGAGCAGGCAAGGGCAGCCCAAGGCCUUCCGUGGACCCCUCCGCCUGGGGCGCAGCCCUCCUGUGACCCUCAUUGCCUGUCCUUCAGCCCAACAAUAAGGAUCCCCCUUCCCACUCUGACCACCCUGGUUCCCUCCCUGAAUUGGCCACCUAACUCCUGUGUGCCCCUGGGCAGGUCUCUUCUCUUCUCCAGCCCUCAGUUUCCCCACCCACAGGCUUGGAGAAGGGAACCAGAUGAUCUUCAAGGCCAUGGCCCCAGUGCUGCUUUUCUCAGCUCUGCCAGGGGCUCCUGGGUCUCAGGCUCUGUCCCUGGGGAGAGAGUGGGGACUGUGAGAGCUGGGGGCUAGAAAUCACAGGGAGGUGAUAGCCCCUUGUUCAUUCAGAAGAACUCUGGCAAAGGCCAUUUCAUCCGCCCUCUCCCCGCUUCAAGAAUCUUCCAUCUGAUGCCCAGACAGAGGCAGCCUGGGAUCCGGCCUGGGCAUCAGUGGGUGGAAGGGGGGCUGCUUGGUGAGUGAGGAGGCCUGUCUUUAACCUGGGCUGGGAGGGUGGGUGUGUGCAGGUGAGAGGGGUGUCCAAGCAGGAUGGGGCUAAAGGAGAACGGGAGCUGGAGGGACUGCGGUUGCCACGGCAAUAACAUCGCUGGCUCCAUGGAGGCUGCUGGGGAGGGAAAGGAAAGGGAUCCCUCCCAAGCUCAGCUGCGUUCUUCCUCUUCAGAUGCUUUUUGUGAGAAAGGAGUCUCCUUAGCUUCAUUUUGUGUUUUGCACCUCAGAGCAAAGGUGGGAGUGGGGGAGCCCCUCAGGGGUGUAGUCCUGCCCUGUCAGGCCCCCUGAUGCACCCACCUACUCCAUCCCUCCUUUCAGAGGCAGGGGCCAGCACACAGGAUGCCCCCACGCUGGGCAUCUGUUAGCCAGAGAGGCCAGGGGUUUCUCCCUGUCACCUGGUGGUUAGUGUCACCGGGUUCCCUCCAUGACCUCACCAGGCACACACUGGCGCUUGCUUCUCAGGGUCCUAGUCGGCAUCUGGACCACUGUAGCUCUCCAUUUGGCUGUGGGACCUCUAGCAUGUCAUGCCCAAGGCCUCCGUCUCCACAUCAGUGAAUCAGGGUGAUACGACCCCCAUCAUCUCCCGAGGUUGCUAUGCCAUCUCUCAAGGUCACAGCCCGGCUCCAGGGGCUUCUGGCCUGCUCAGCACUGGGCGUUGCUUCCCCACUGUUACAAAUGAGGAGACUGAGGCUCAGAGAGGUGAGGUCACUGUACUGGUGAGUGGCAGUCAGAAAUUGAACCCACGUCUCUCUUAUCAAAACCUGUUCCUUUAACAGUCAACCAACAUGGCAUCCAGUAACUCUGAGGUGGACCAGCAGGGCUCUACCCAGGGGUACCCACAGGCUCCACUGUCUCUGCCCUGAACCCUCUCUGGGGAAAACACUCCCCACCACCACCACUACCAGGAGCUUGGAGCCAGAGGAGACCCAACCUACCCCAGAGAACCUGCUGAGAAUAGGCAGACAGGGGCUCUAUCCUUAGGUUGGGGGGUGGGGGAAUCGGGAAGUGAGAGGUCUGGGAGGAUCCGAGGACUUCCCGCAGGAGGGGAACUCCCACGUGCCGUAGCCCGGCUUUAUCCGCAGUCCCAUGCUGCCCCCGUGUGGACCACAGGCUCACAUUCCCAUUUGGGGACCCGGGGACACUGCAUCACUCCUGGGCCAGGGCUCUGCCCCCCAGAGGGACUAUCAGAGACCUGGGCUGUGAUGCAUGCCCCAAGGCUGCACCUCCAAGCUUCUGCUGGAAAUGCCCUCUCUUCCCCACAGAUCCUGAGCCCCAACCUGGCAUCACACGCUGCCCGCUGCCUUUCCUCUUCCCAGGAGUUCCGAAUCCCGCACUCUUGGAGGGAAGUGAACUGAAGAGUUUAUUUUCCAACUCUCCACUCCAUAUUUCAACCUCCAUCCCCAGUAAUUCAACUGCUUGCACAUCCUUCAUCUCAGGGAGCUCACUAUCUCUGGGAGCAGCCCAUGGCUUGGAGGAAAUUCUGAUUGCAGAAACGGCCCUCAUUCCAUGGAGCUGGUAUUUGCCUCCUGGUUUAGCUCUGCCCUCUGGGGCCACACAGAAUCAAGUGGCCUCUCACUUGGGGGUUUCUAAGCAGAUCCAAAGAUCCAGUGCUUAGGGGCCUCCUCUUCUCUGCCCCCACCCCCAGUCUUCUCUCUCACAGACAAAACAUCCUGGUUCCGGGUAACCCACUCAUGGUCCCUCUUAUCUGGGCACACCGGUGGUCCCUGUCUCUCUAGAACUUGACUGAGGAGACCCAGCACCCCUGAGGACUGUCACUUCCUUCCACCCUGGCCCUCCCUUGGAUCCUGUCCUCAUAAUUAGCAUUCACUUGCCACUAACACAUUCUUUCCCUAAGCCCUGUUCUCCUCCAGAGGCCUGGAGAGCAGAGAUCUGACUCAGUAGAAAAGCUGACUCUUUAUGAAAUCCCUCCAGACUGACUGGCCUCUUGCCUCUUGAUUCUGCCUUCUGCCUGGAUUUGUGAAAUGUGUACAUUUAAUUCCUCAAACAUUUACCCGGGACUGUGCCAGGCAUGGAUCCCACCUGGGCUGUGGCUCCGGACCAGGCUUGGACAAGACACCACAGCAGGCCACAUGGCUCAUCCAGCAACCCCCCCACCCCCCACAGUUGCCCAGCCCAAGAUUUGUCUGGUCACCGAGGCCUCAUGUCUUCCUCUGUCUUGUGCUCAAGGCAUUUGUGACGGACCUGGUGGAUAGAUGCUCUGCUGAGUCCAGCUAGUGGCUCUGUCCAAGGCUACACCACAGAGAAUGGCAAAUGCACCCAGGACUCCACUGGGCCUUGUGAUGGGGCAAAAGCUGCUCACUCACAGAGGGUGGGAGUGUGUCGACUCUAGAGGAAGGGUUAAGCUCUUCACCUGUUUUGUGUCAGAGACUCCUUUGACAUCUGAUGGUGUUUAUUGACCUCUUCUCAGAAUUUUUUAA